UUCGUCAUUGCUACAAUCCAGAGUCUUUCUGGCAAAAGCAUUGUUUCCUCCAUGAGCACUAGUGCGGCUUUAAAAUGUCAUCCUUUUAUGUAAGUAUUUCUGUAUGUGCAGCUACAAAACGAUCCCUUGCCUUCAAAGUUUAUUCCGAACUUUUUGUUUCAGCCAGUAAUUUCCGGCAGGGGUAGCCAACAAUUCGUCUGUUAAUACCAGAAAAUAAAGCCAGCCAUUAAGUUGCGUAAGCUGCGUUAAGAGAGAGGAGCAUCCAUUCCUUUACAGGCCCCUAUUUGCAUUGUAAAUCGCUUCGUUUUCACGAAAGACUCCUUAGCGUCUAUAAAGAUGAGAGCCUUCGGCAAUUUCCAACGCAGUGUAAGGAGGAACAAGAAGGUGGGGAAAAUCCAUUUCAGUAGGAAGUAACAAGAUGAUUCGAGGAUGAGGUUCCUGAUCCCCUUAGAUUGUGCACGGCAUAGAGCUCUUUGCCAAAAGGUGGCAGCUUGAUUGUAAAUAUCUUUCCUGGGUGUGUAUUUUAGAGGGGGGAGAUUCGCUCUUUCUCGGAGCUCCUAAAGCUGGGGAGGAGACAGCGGUCUUGCCGGCUGCUGCUGCCCCCGGUCUGAAAGAUGGAGAAAAGAGCCAUCAUUGGAAGGCUUUCAGUGCCAAAAUGCGGGCCAGCCCGUCAAGGUCAGAGGUCCUGGACCGCGGGAGACCAAGGUCUCCAGAUGUCUGUGAUGUAAAGAAGAAAUAUCCCGUAUGGAUUCCUUAAGAGCAAACCAUCUCUAUUGACUUUAAAGAGGAAUGCUUAUGACUCUCUAACUAUUGCAAUCAGACCCCCAUCCUAUCUCCAGCAACACCACCUUCUUUGGGAAGACACACAGGAACCCCACUUAAGCUGCUGUGACAUAAGAAGGGUGUAGUGUUGCAGAAAUUCCCUUUUUGCACUAAAUUAUAACAAAAUUCAUGUAGAGGUAAACAUUGCCAGUACAUGCCAGUACGUGCCAGUACAGUCCAAACCUUUUUUCCCUGCAGAGCGGCAUCCCUUUUCUCCCAUCCCGGCAGCAGUGCUGUUCUUAGGUGCUGCGAUGAGGCAGUUUCACCCGGAUAGAGGGAUGCUGAGGGUCACGCCC